rnacentral:rRNA from 1 species
GCACAAGCAGCGGAGCGUGUGGUUUAAUUCGAUGUUACACGAAGAACCUUACCAGGGUUUGACAUGCAAGUGGUAGGAAGCCGAAAGGUGACCGACCCUUCGGGGAGCUUGCACAGGUGCUGCAUGGCUGUCGUCAGCUCGUGUCGUGAGAUGUUCGGUUAAGUCCGCUAACGAGCGCAACCCUCGCUGUGUGUUAUAUGUGUCACACGGGACUGCCGGUCUUAAGCCGGAGGAAGGUGGGAUGAUGUCAAGUCAGCAUGGCCUUUAUAUCCUGGGCUACACACACGCUACAAUGGCCAACACAAUAGGUUGCUAAGCCGCGAGGUGGCGCCAAUCCAUAAAGUUGGUCUCAGUUCAGAUUGUAGGCUGCAACCCGCCUGCAUGAAGUCGGAAUUGCUAGUAAUCGCGGAUCAGAACGCCGCGGUGAAUACGUUCCCGGGCCUU